rnacentral:tRNA from 1 species
GCUGGAUUAGCUCAGUUGGUAGAGCAAUGGUUUUGUAAACCAUCGGUCGAAGGUUCGAGUCCUUUAUCCAGCUCCA